rnacentral:ncRNA from 20 species
GCCGCGGGCCGUGACUGGCGCGCUGGGAUGGGACCGACCAUCGGGAAGCGGCCCCGAGUCCGCCUCGACGGGCUCGGAAGCGUGUGUGCCGUGCGCCUGGGCCGAACCG